ensembl:miRNA Gm22197 predicted gene, 22197
UGUGUAUGUGUGUAUGUAUAUGUAUGUGUGCAUGCACAUGUAUGUUUGGAUGUAUAUA